rnacentral:pre_miRNA from 2 species
UCUUAUGAAUGAGCAAAGAAAUUGGUUUCUUGAGAUAGAAUCUACUUCUAGUAAAGAUGCUAUGAA